GGUUAUUUUAAUCCAAAUGUUUUAUCUCAGGUAUGAAGAAAAUUGUGGAGUGAAUGGUUUUUAUUCGUGAAAAUUUAUAGUUGACAGUAUAUAAAAGAUUAAGUAUUAAGGAACAUAAUCCUCUUUUCACUCAGUUUUUUUCCGUCUAUUUUAGUGAAUCUGAUGGAGGAGACUUUUUUAAAUGCAGAUUUUUUUCUUAAAGAGAAAAUUUGAAGAGAAUGCUUUGAGUAGAGGAUCCUUGUUUCCGCAGGAGUACCACUUUCCCUGCAAAGAAAAACGAAGCGAUGACAUGAUGGAUCCAAUCCAACCAGUUUGCUCUGCGGUGCCUUCAAAUUCUUCUUGAAAAACCACAAAGAAAAUUGCAAAAGUCUUGGUCAUCCCCAUCACGAAUACAUUUACCUAAAUCAAAGCAGACCAAAGAGUCCAAGUCAGGUGGCAGGGCUCUGCACAAGUGGUACUUCCUUCUCCCAAACGAACCCGGUUCCUAAAACUCCCGAAGAACGACCCUGUCCGGACAAUUUCAGCACGAGAGUCGGGUUUGGGCUCGGGCCGCGGAGACCCGCUCAGGAGGGAGUGUGCGGAGCCCCGGCGGGAUUUAAUUCCGGGUCAUUUCGCACCCACACCGGAGGCCCCGGGACAGGGCGUCCCCAAGACGCCCGGCCGGCGCUCGCAGCUCGCGCCCUCUGUCCCGUUCAAAUCCCCCAGCCGCGACCCCAGGACAGGCCUACGAGAAUACUACUCACGUGUCCUCCAAGUGCUGCUCUAAAGUUGCCUCCAUGCCGCCGUGAGUCGCCGCCUUCUUCGCCACUGGUCUCGGGUGCCCCUCGGUCGUUCACAUGACGCGAGAGGGCCGUGGGCAGGAACGGUGCCUCCAAAGGGACAAAAUUCGUGGCGCAGCCUUCGCGUUGUGUCCAGGAUGACAUCUUUACGCGCCCGCCACCGCGAGCCGGGCGGAGGUUCUGCUGCCUGUGCAACAGGCGAGGGGACGGCGCGGAAUGCCGCCGUGGGAGGGAGGCCUGCAGUCGUCCCUUGGAGCCGGCCUCCUGGCCUGUCCCUCUGUCUCCUCCAUACAGACCUUUGGAUUACAAUUCCACCGACUCCAAGAAGUCGGGCCAGACCCUGUUGAAGUUUUACAACAACCCGGGCGGCCCGACGGGGUCUCAUCCAGGCGGUGGGGCAGAGAGAGACAAGAGAGACACAGGACCCCGGUGAAAGGCUUACAGGGGAAAAGACUGGACACAGGGACUAGAGGACGAGAUGGAACAAUGCUAAUAGCGUCUACGAACUUAGUGAAGUGUUACUGGUCCUUACUUCAGAGUAGAGAAUGUCGUGAAGACAAGAUGACCCAUCUAGUUCUGCACACCCUGCCAUGAAGAGCGGAGCGAGAAGAUUUUUUGUCGGCUGCCACCGUCUCUCUUGGAAUCUGAAUUUAGCUUCGGGAGCUUACCUAUUGUUACAACACUGAAUUACCCUCUUGUAAGACCUUGGACAAGUCCUCUAAUGCCUUGAUGUCUCAGAUUUUUUUCAAUUCUCCCUGAAGAUAAGAAUAGUAUCCACCUCAUAGCAGUGGUGUGGGAACUCCAUGAGACGAUGCAUGUGAAGCCCCUCACACAGUCUCUGGGGCCACCGCAGACAGUGAACAGGUGAGAGCUGCUAUCGUUGCCAGGACCUCAGGAAAUGAUAGCUGAGGCAAAGUUGAACUAGACUGUCGUUCAGGGCUCUUAGUUGCAAGCAACAGAAGCUGACUUUGGCUUAUAGAGUAGGAAAGGAAAUUUUAAAAUGACACUGGUAGCUCACGGUUACCCAGUUGUUGGGAGGGCUGGAGAGCUCAGUCUAAGCUUCCAGUGACAAAGCUCCAAGCCCACCAUGCCACCCCUGCCACUGGUCUUGUGGCAGCCCACAACAGCGUGCGGCACCAAGGCCGUUACUGUGGCAGGAACCUAACCUUAUGCUUGCUACGCCCCGAAGCCAGACCCCCUCUGCUGCUGCCCUUGCCAGCAAAGUGGAAUUUUCCCAGAGCCUCUGAAUUGAAGUCUUGUGUGGGUAAGUUUAAGCAAUGCAGCCUGGAUCACAUCCCUGGCUUUAGUUGCAAAGAAGGCUGAAGAGGAAAUGUCUGCUUUCUAUAUCUGUUCUGCAAGUGCCUGAGCAAAGCAAAGGUAUUCACCUGGGGCCGGGCAGCAAGAGAGCAUUUCAAGUGUCUCCUACAGGGAGGGGGCUUCCUUCUUUGCGUGAGGGAGAGCUCUUAGGUGAGGCACGCACAGCUCCUUCCAUACCUCAGAGAGCAACUUUACCAGGCAAAGUUCCACGCCCUGGCAAGGGGAGGGGAGAGCUAUCUGCCCUUUCUUCUGCUUGAGUAUAAGAAUAUGAAAUUCGAGAGGUUGGUCAUUUUGCUUUGUGCUUCUAGAGAUAAGGGCCAUGAAAUGCAUCUCAGAGUAUGUAUGUCCGCCAGCUUCGUGCCGUGUCCUCACUGUAGAUCUGUAGUUUCAUUUUUUAAAAUUGAUUUCUCACUCCUAGUUUGCCAAAUUCUAUGUGGGUAGUAGUAAUAAAUCAGGCAGAGCUUCCUCACUCAAGGAGUUUAUGUUCUAUACAGUAAAUAAGCUAGAGAUCAUGGAAAAAACAAAACAAAACCCAAGUUUUAUUUUGGGUAAGAGAAGCUGUUCGAACCAAUGAUCAUUACCAACAACAACCUGAGUGUUUGGCCCAGACCCGAGUCUGGGGCCACAUUGUAAGGAAAGGACUCAGUGGGGCAGGCAGAGCUGCUUCUGGGAGGGAGAAGACACACGAACGAGUGAGUGAGAGAGAGAAGGAUGAAAAGAGAAACACCAAACCCUCAAGGUCAAGGGCUUAUCAGAACUUGAGUGUGUUGUCUUUGCCCUCCAUGGUCCCUAGGAAAGCAUCUAGCACACAGAAAGUGUCCAGCAAAUGUUCUGUUAGGCGGGGAAUCCGUUUGAAAAUCUCAGGAAAGUGACCCUCUCCAACCCUUCAUCUGUCCAUUAUUCUAGCUCCCAAGGAGCCAGUAGAAAGUGGGGGCAGGGACGCAAUCACAGUGUCAAAAGCAGUGAAGGCAGUGGACAGUCUUCAUAACUUACCUGACUGAAAAUGGAUUUCAGGGCUUCCCUGGUGGCGGAGUGGUUGAGAGUCUGCCUGCCAAUGCAGGGGACACGGGUUCGUGCCCCGGUCUGGGAAGAUCCCACAUGCCGCGGAGCGGCUGGGCCCGUGAGCCGUGGCCGCUGAGCCUGCGUCCGGAGCCUGUGCCCCGCAGUGGGAGAGGACACAGCAGUGAGAGGCCCAUGUCCCGCAAAAAAAAAAAAAAAAAAAAAAAAAGAAAAUGGAUUUCAUCUCUCUAGGCCUCAGUUUUAAUAUCUGUAAACUUGGUUGGUUUCUCACUCAAGAACAUUGCAUUUACUCUUGUACUUAAAGAUAAAAAAUUAACAUUUAUAAAGCACAUCUCUUCACACACAUUGUCUCUUGUUAAUUCCACAGUCAUCCCAUCAGGGAUCUCCAUCCUCAUUUUGUGGAUGAAGUAACUGAGGUCUGGAGGGGUCUAUAGCUUGUCAAGGCCGUAGAACUUGAGAGUGUCCAUGGCUUUGGGACUCCAGAGCUAGGGCCGGCCAGUCUCCAGGAUGUAGAUCCCAGGUGAAUCAGUCUCUCUGCAACUGUCUCCUCAACCAGUCCAGACAGCACAGGCCUGUGAGCCGGACCCAGAAAGUGGCCAGAGGCUGCUCUCUCCCCAUCUCCCCUCCCAGCAGUGGGAGGACUUGUCUUGUCUACUCCUUUAGACACCAGGAGUAAAUCAAUUGACACAUUAAUUCUGGGCUGUCAGCAUUUCCCCCAGGAGAAAGUCAGAGUCAGGGAGACUAAUGUCUCAUUGAUCUUUCCAGUUGCCAAAGGGGAAGGGAGAUGAAUGUAAUCCCAUCUGUCAAGGUGGAGAAGGGCCCGUCUGAACGCAGGCUGGAUGACUUUAAGGAGAUAACAGUUUAUCACUCUCUGGACAAGCAAAUAUGAAAGUAGGACAGCCUUCUCCAUGAGUUGGUAGAAACAUUGGUCAGCAAAGAGAAGGCCUGGAGAAAUGAGUGGCACGAUCUCUGGCCUUUGUUCCACUUGUCCUUCCCCUAGGACUUUGUGUUCUUUGUGUACACACAACUGCACAAGUGGGACAAAACCCACCCCUGACCCCCAAGAAAUAGUUAACAUUUGUUGAGGAUUGAUUAUUGCCAGGUGCUGUACUAAGUGUUUUAUAUUUACUAUCGAGCAGCUUUCUGAGGUGUUAUUAUGAGCACCAUUUUACGGAUGUGGAAACUGAGGCUCAGAGAGGUUGAGUGAGUUGCCCAAGGUUGCUGAACUAGUGAAAGGUGAAAGGGUGGAGGCUGGCUCACCCUGAGUCUGCCCUCAACCACUCAGAGAACACACUGGUUACCCAGCCAGGAAAGUAGCCCAGCAGCCCUGCUUCGAGAUCACUGAGUCUUCACUCACUCCUUCCUUGGUCAGCCCCUUAGGGAGCCCUGCUGACCCCAGCGGGGAGGUGUCUUUACCAGUGGUAGAGGCUGAGCCAAGUCUGAGGGGCUGGGAUGCCUGGAGGCCUCAGUCAGGGUGUCUGGACAGCUGAGGCUCUGGGAGCGGUAGAGGAGUGGGCAGGCCCAAGGCCAUGGGUCUCAGCAGCACGCAAGGCACAGGCUCUGCUGAGGCUCCUCUGGGUUACCGCUGUGCAUGGGUUCCCAUGGAGGAGGGGGAGGUCAGCGACAGCCUCUCAGCAAGCCAGAAGCUGGGACAUCCAGUGUCAAGCCACCAUACAGGCUGCUGUGGCCGCCGAGAGCCUGAGGAAAUGCCACGGCCAUGGGCUAGGAAGCUCAGGUGAGAAUGGCCUGGGGCCCACAACAAUGUGAUCUCAAAAACCCAAGGAGGGGGCUUCCCUGGUGGUGCAGUGGUUGGGAGUCCGCCUGCCGAUGCAGGGGACGCGGGUUCGUGCCCCGGUCCAGGAAGAUCCCACAUGCCGCGGAGCAGCUGGGCCUGUGAGCCAUGGCCGCUGAGCCUGCGUGUCCGGAGCCUGUGCUCUGCAACGGGAGAGGCCACAACAGUGAGAGGCCCGUGUAACGCAAAAAACAAAAAACCCAAGGAGGAAUGUGCACACCUGAGAUCCUCAGGGAACACAAGUCUCAGCGUUAAAUUCAAGCGGUUCAGAAGCACCCUGCAGAGUAAAGAUCCCCAAAGAGAGGGGCUUUGCCGCCAGCCGUGGCUGGGGACACUCUGCCAAGGCAAAGGUCACUUGAGGGUGGCAGUUCUCAUCCUCUGUGGCCAGAAGUUAGGGUUUCUAAUUAAUACCACUUUGGAUCAGACAGAGGUGGCUGCUCUGUCCCGGGCUUGUUUGCUGUUUAUCCCUGUGAUUGAUGCUGGUGACCUUUAGAGUCUGUCAGGGAGAUAUUUCAUGGAGGCCCCAUGUGGUGGGAUGGAGACAGCCAGGAAAUGCAAUUCCCUAGUUAAGGCAGAAUCAGAGAUGAAUCUAAAGUAUGGAUGGACAGGCCUAGGCCCUUUCUAGCCUCUUGUCAGGUAGGGGAAGGGGGUGCGGUGGAGGUGGAGGCUUGAGAGGACCUGGAGCUGUAGCAGGGACCUGUCCUGAAGAGAAAUGACAUAUGAAAGAGGCAAGAGGCGUUUUUUUCCCUAAGGCUUUCUCAUGGAAAGUGUCACAUCUGUGUUGGCCAAUAGACUUUGCUGGCUAAGACACACAAGAAAGGAAGCAAACAGGAAGGAAAACACUCUUCCUGCUGUUUCCGCAGUCUUUAAUGUUUGCUCCAAACCACCAUGUCUAUCUGCCAAAAGUCUACCCAUUAAUCAUAAGGCUGAUUUCAAAAGUGAAAAGGUGUUUGAAUCCCUCGAUUAGAGAUGAUCUUCACCUCGACACCCACAGCACUUUGUAUGUUACUGUCAAAGCAUAAUGUUCACACAUUUAAAAACAUGGCUCUCAUAAAAUAUGAACGGGCAGGUGUCAAAGAUUUAGUAAUUCAUGAAUGAGGGAACCAAUAAGCUGGCAAAGCUGGUUCAAAGAGCAUUUUGAGGAAAUGGGUAUUUACAAGCACUUAAAAGGAAAUGUUCAAGUAAAAUAUCUAGGUUAAGAACAAAACUGGUUGCCCUCACAUGUAUGGUCAAAUGAUUUUUGGCAAGCAUGCCAAGACCAUUCAAUGGGGAAAAGAUGGUCUUUUUUAACAACUGGUGCUGGGAAAGUGGAACACCCAUGUGUAAAAGAAUGAAGUUGAAUUCUUACCUUAUACCAUGUACUAAAGUUAACUCUAAGCAGAUCAAAAGACCUAAAUGGAAAAGCUAAAGCUAUCAAACUCAGAAGAAAACAUAAGGGAAAAACUUCAUGACGUUGGAUUUGGCAAUGAUUUCUUGGAUAUGACACCAAAAGCAUAGGAAGCAAAAGAAAAAAAUAGAUAAGUUGGACUAUAUCAAAAUUAAAAACUUUUGUGCAUGGAAGCAAACUAUCAACAGAGUGAAAAGACAGCCCAUGGAAUGGGAGAAAACAUUUGCAAAUCAUGUAUCAGAUAAGGGGUUAAUAUCCAGAAUAUAUAAAAGAACUCCUGCAACUCAACAACAAAAAAACCCAAACAACCUGGUUUAAAAAAUGGGCAUAGGACUUGAAUAGACAUUUCUCCAAAGAAGAUAUACAAAUGGCCAAUAAGCACAUGAAAAGAUACUCAACAUCAGUAAUCACUGGGGAGAUACAAAUCAAAACCACAAUGAGAUACCUUAUACCCAUUAGAAUAAAAAAACCAAAAAGUAGCAAGUGUUGGGAAGGAUCUGGAGAAAUUGGAACCUUUGUGCACUGUUGGUGGGAAUGUAAAACAGGACAGCCACUGUGGAAAACAGUAUGGUAGUUCCACAAAAAGUUAGACGUAGAGUUAUUAUAUGAUCCAUCAAUUCCACUUCUGGAUAUAUAUCCACAAGAACGGAAAGCAGAGUCUCAACAGAUGUUUGAACACCCAAGUUUAUAGGAGUAUUAUUCACAAUAGCCAAAAGGUGGAAGCAGCCCAAGUGUCCAUGGACAGACGAAUGGAUGAGCAAAAUGUGGUGUAUAUGUACAAUGAAAUAUGAUUCAGCCUUAAAAAGGAAAGAAACUCUGACACAUGCUACAAUAUGAAUGAAACUUAAGGACAUUAUACUAAGUGAAAUAAACCAGUCUCAUGGACAAGUACUGCACAAUUCCACUAAUAUGAGAUAUGUAGCAUAGUCAAAUUCAUUGAGACCGAAAGUAGACUUUGGUUGCCAGGUGCUGGUGGGAGGGGAGCAUGGGGAGUUAUGUUUAAUGGGUGUAGAGUGUCAAUGUUGCAGGAUGAAAAGAGUCCUUGAGAUGGAUGGCGGUGAUGGUUGCACAAUGUGAAUAUAGUUAAUGACACAGCUGUACACUUAAAAAUGGUUAAGAUGGUAAAAUUUUAUGUUAUGUGUAUUUUACCCCAAUUAAAAACAAAACAGCUGGUUAAUGUCUUACAAGGCAGUUAAAAAAAUUAGUCUUUAAUGUUAUGCUUUCUAUUGAAUAGACAUUAUUUAUAUCUUUACUGGACAUGAUCUACAAGUUAACAUGUAACUUCACAGAGUCUGAGCCCUUAAUUAAUGGUAACUAGCCAUUAAACAAAGAUACCUUCCCCUGGGUGAUUAAAUAAUCCUUGGGUGGACUUGCGAAACAAUGACCAAAUGACAUUGGAAGGACUUACUGUCCUCUUGUGGCCAUAUUUCCAGGUUUUGAAUUAUUAGUAUUAUUUCUUAACAUCACAGUCCUGUACAUCCUUGCUUUUCCCACCAGUCCCUCGAGGGUAGGGGCUCUGUCUUAUCCAGCUUUUCCUUCUCACUGUGUGCUCUGGUUUGCUGAAUGGAACUGAAGAAGGACCAAUGGGAUAGAGCCACUUGGGAGCAGAAGACCUGCAUUUAACUGUGUCUGUGACCAUGACCAUAGUCUCACCCAUCAAAUGAGGACAUGGCACCUGAGUCCUGGGUGCAAUGCUGGGCACUGGGGGUGCUGUCUAAUCUCAGGGUUUCCGUCCAGCUCUAAGAUGCUCGGAUCCUUGUUUGGUCAUCAUCACACAAGAAAGGAUGCAAACACAUAAAUGAAACAUAUAAUGAACACACACGAGUGCCUUUUUCAGGUGCACAUAAUACACAGAGGCAUUUUUUUCUAGCUUUUCUUAGAAGAGCCAUUCUUGAUGCCACGUGACGUCUGUGGCCCUGGCUCCUGGGUUGGGAGGUGCACAAAGAUGUGCUGUUUGUAGCUUUGCUAGAGAGGGAAGAGCUACAGUUUGCUGGAGGCAGGAGCACCUCCUCCCAGCAGCUGGGGGGCCCUGGGUCAGCAGGCCUCAGAGGGACAGUACCCGACCUCCAAGGCUGCCGUUGAGAAAGGAAUUAUAUUGUCUUGUUUUGCUGUUUUCAAUUAAUUUCUUGACAGAUUCUGGCUGUUCCUCUUCUUGUUUUUCUUAGGACAGGAGGACUCCCGGUGAUUUAUUAAGAAGGUGAAAUUAUGUGCCCGGUUGGGAACUCUGGGGAGCUCUUGCUGAAAUUGAGCGUUCUGGAGCCGGAUUUACAAGGCAGAAUGGACCUGGGCCUGCUCCUUGUGGCAGAAGCUGCUGGGCCACUGUGGAUGGUCUUUCCCACAUUGCACGAUGUCCCCAGAGCCCUUGGAGCCAUGCUCAGCCCCAUCCUGGUAUCCCCCGUGUACCUCGUGCCUCUGCCAUGGAGGUCCAACCACUUUACUUGGCUGUGGGUCUCAUCAACUUGCAUGUGAAUCCAUCUAUCCCCCCUCCCAGCCUGGCUUGGUCCCCUACUCAUAAGCACUUACACAGUAUGUCACAAAGAAAAUGUCUGCUGGCUGUGUCCCAGACUCUUGAAUGUUAGCUCACAUUAGUCAUGGCCACGGAUGCGGCUGGAAUCUUGCUGACCAGGUCCCCAAGGUCUCUGCUGGUCUGUACUCCCCAUGCUUGGGUUGGAGGCACUGCGGAGGGUUUGGAUGGUGAGUGUGGGCACCUCCCCGCUGCACCAUUUCCUGGCAUCCACCAGGCUGCCUCACGUCCACUCUAGACCCUCGGUCUCAGCAGGGGAAACCACAAAUCUCUCCCUAGCACCACAAUCAUCUUGUGCUGGCUGCUAAGCACCCUUGCUCUGAAAACAAUAACCAACCACCAUAAAAACAGUAGGUCUGCCUUCUCUGUCUAAGCAUGUACUGUGUAGGUGCUUUAGGGAGAGCCCCAGAGGCCAGGGAGGACACCAGCUAAGAUGGGACAGAAUGAGGAUUAUUAUUAGUUCUAAAUAAUUCCAAUACUCAUGUUCUUUUUUAUUAUUCCCUUUCCCACUCUUUUAUAAUGAUUCUAAAGUAACAUUUACUUCAUUUUCUAUUACCGAAAGAAUGUGUGCGCAAAUAGAAAACAGAAAAUGUAGAAACGUAUGAAGACAAAAGAACCACCAAGACAAAUAAACCAAACCCAGGGUCAUUAGCAGUUCCUCCUUGCCAAGAUAAAAUGUGAACAUUUUAGUUCCUCUCUUUUCCAUCUUGUUCUUUGUGUGUGUCCAUGCCUUCACACACACACACACACACACACACGUGUAAAAUGGGGAUAUCAUUGUACAUUCUUUUUUGUUUCCAGCUUUUUCCACUUAGCCAUAUAAUGUUAACAUUUCCCCACAUCAAUAAAGGAGCUUCAGUCCUGGGCUCAUUAACUCAUCCAAGGCAUGUUCUGCCCACCUUUGUUUUCUUCUGUGUCCAGCCAUAUGCCUCCUCUCUGGGCUGUACCCCAGGGGGACACAGAGCCUUUUCCAGCAGACUGAGCUUGUUGGUACUGAGGGGCUUGCUUUGCUUUUGUCUGUAAAUCUAUCGAACUGUAUGCAGGAUGGGCCUGUUAUCUUGUUCAAAUCCUAUGAGAGAGAGAGAGAGAGAGAGAGAGCGCCUUUUCCACAAGGAUGCUCAAGGCUGUGUGCACACCCCUCUGUCCAUGCUGGAUUUGGAACCAGAACAGCAAGAGCAGAGAAUGGGGCCCAGCCCUGUUAGGAUGGCUGACCCCCUUCCAGCCACUCCAGUCCUGUUUCCUAAAGGGAAUUAAUUGUUGGCCUCGGGGAAAGAAUUCUCAAAGGACUGUUGCAUGGACAUGGUAGGAACUGUUGACCUUGAGACCUGUACCUGCUAGGUCUUAUUUUCAGCUGAAAUGAACCACUAACUGAGGGAAAAGAAGAGUAUUUCACUUUGUGGUGAAUCCUCUGAGCCUACGGGAAUCAUCUUGGCCCAUGUUUAUGUGUCACCUGGCCUCCGCCCAGGGUGGCCACCCAGGGGGGCCACGUCCUUAGAAAGGAUUGGCAGUCCAGGAGGCAAGGUUCCUGGGCAGCCUUUCCAAGGUUCAGCCCUGACCUCUUUGCCAAAAGGUGUUUUUGUUUGUUUGUUUGUUUGUCGUACACGGGCCUCUCACUGUUGUGGCCUCUCCCAUUGCAGAGCACAGGCUCUGGACGCGCAGGCUCAGCGGCCAUGGCCCACGGGCCCAGCCGCUCCGCGGCAUGUGGGAUCUUCCUAGACCGGGGCACGAACCCUCAUCCCCUGCAUCGGCAGGCGGACUCGCAACCACUGCGUCACCAGGGAAGCCCUGUUUGUUUGUUUUAAGCAGUUUAUUUCAUGAACCACUAGAGCUGGGGAAAACGUUGAUGAGUCAUAACCCCAUUCCCAGCACCAACAAUCUAUAGCUCUCAGAGGAAGAACUGUAAUUCCAACUCGUUGACCUGAACCAGGAGGCUAAAUGCACUGCUAGAAUUCAUUUCUGUGAUUAGAGACAAAAACAUAACUGGGGCCUCCUGCUAGGAGUUGAAACUCCCUUGAUCCUGAGCCUUCGGCUGUUAUCUCAUUGAUAUUUUCAAGGAUAAAUCCAGUAUAAAUGGAUUAUUUCUGAACAGAGUCCCGUGAUUAGAAAAUACAUGGCACGUGUGCCAACAGUUUCCCAUCCUGUACGCAUGACAGACAUCACCGGUCAGUGCUGUCGCUCUCUCCCACGGAGCCCAGAGAUGACCUCAGACCCAGUCUCAACACAUUCCUCUAGGCAGCCAUUAUAAUCAAUCAGCAUUGGCGUAUGGAAUGAAAUCAUUUGACUUUCCUGAAUUAGUUUAUAAUCAUAGGCAGGAUUUCCUUUUUUGUUUGUCUGUUUGUUUUUCCCAAUAAGAAUGAGGGCAGAGUAUGGAGGUUCCUUAAAAAACUAAAAAUAGAUUUGCCAUAUGAUACAGCAAUCCCACUCCUGGGUAUGUAUCUGGAGAAAAGUCUAAUUCAAAAAGGUACAUGUACCCCAAUGUUCAUAACAGCACUAUUUACAAUAGCCAGGACAUGGAAGCAACCUAAAUGUCCAUCAACAGAUGAAUGGAUAAAGAAGAUGUUAGAUAUGUAUACAAUGGACUAUUAGCCAUUAAAAAAAGAAUGAAAAAAUGCCAUUUGAGGUGACGUGAAUGGACCUAGAGAUGAUCAUGCUAAGUGAAGAAAAUCAGAAAGAGAAAGACAAAUAUCACAUGAUAUCACUUAUAUGUGGAAUCUAAAACAUGAUACAAAUGAACUUACAAAACAGAAACAGAUGCACAGACAUAGAAAACAAAUUUAUAGUUAUCAAAGGGGAAAGAGUGGGGAGGGAUAAAUUAGGAGUUUGGGAUUAAGAGAUACACACUACUAUAAACAACAGGGUCCUACUGUAUAGCACAGGGAACUAUAUUCACUAUCCUGUAGUAAAAACCAUAAUGGAAAAGGCUAUGAAAAAGAAUAUGUAUACACCUUGCUGUACAUCAGAAACUAACCCAGAAAGGUGGAGGGAGAUGGAGGAAGUUGGGUUAAGGAGAGCCACGCGUCUUUUUCUGCUCUUACCAUUUUCUAAUUUAAGACUUGAUAUGACUCUUCUCACGUUGCCACAGGCAGCCUCUGUUCCUGCCUGUUCCUCAUCCAGCCCUAGGACUUUUUCCAUCUCUAGGCAGGGCAGCUUGAAGCGGGGCUGGGGUUUCCUUCUUCCUGAAGGUAGGCAAGGGGCAGAGCUCUGUCCCUGGUGAUUUGCAGCUGGCCCAUGCCCUCGGGUCGAGUAGUGACCCCUGGCUGGCUGUGCUUCCCAAGACCCCCUACUUUAAAUGAUUCAACUGUGCUACUCCAUACCCUGCUGAUCUCAAGAUGUUCUCAAGAAAAGUUAUGUUCAUUUGCUAACUCUUAUUAUUAUUAUUAAUUUUUUGCGGUACGCGGGCCUCUCACUGUUGUGGCCUCUCCCGUUGCAGAGCACAGGCUCCGGACACGCAGGCUCAGCGGCCAUGGCUCACGGGCCCAGCCGCUCCGCGGCACGUGGGAUCUUCCCGGACUGGGGCAUGAACCCGUGUCCCUUGCAUCGGCAGGCGGACUCUCAACCACUGCGCCACCAGGGAAGCCCCAGUCGGUAACUCUUACAUGAGAAAAAAAAAUAGAGGAAAGUAGAAGAUGUCCCUCGGCUGAAGAGGUCCCCAAUAUGCCACCAAGAGAAUUAUUUGUUUUUAAUUUAACUGCUUUUAUUUAAUGAAAUAUUUCAACAUGGGUUGAAGAAUAAUAUUAAAACAAUCACCCACAUACUCUCUGUGGCUUCAGAAAUUGAAGGAUUAUUCUUUCAUGAGAAGAAGAGAGUCAUGCAGGGCCUGCACUGGGCCACGGGCCCCCCGGGGCUCUCCAGGAGGACGCAGCUGACUUAUUUCAGUGGGAAAUUGGCCAGCUCAGAUUUAUGACCCAAUAUAGAGCAGCUUCCAUUUAUUGUAUUGCUCAGUCAGCACCGGCUGGAAAUGAUACCUGCUUCCUUUCUGUGAGGCCCUGCCUCUGUGUCCUCACGGGCUGCGCGGGCAGGUGGCUCCUGCAGCUGUCUGCUCUGAUGCUCCAUCAUCGCCGUGUUCAGACCACCCUGAGUUUUUACUUUCCACGUGUUUCCAUGGCUCAUCCUGUGUGAGGGACUGUGGAGCUCACUCUUUUCCGGGGACUGGGAAACAACCAUUUGCUUCCUCACGGCAACUCACAGACCACAGCCUUUUGGGUUUUUAAUGACAGAGCCCAGAACGGGCAGGAGGGCUGUGUUGGGUCUUGCGCUUAUAUUAGCUCUUCCAGGUGGAUGGGUUCCUAGUAGGAGAAGACGAACUGUUUCAUUUUUUCUUUCUCGUGUUUUCGCCCUCACCAGGGACCUGGACUUUGCAUCCCAGCCAGGUGGGUUGGGACCUUGCUAGCAUCUGCAAGUGCAAAAGCUGCACUCAAAGAAGCUUUUCACAGUACGUAUUGUUAUAAUGACCAUCUGGGUGAUGCUUGCUAACCUUCCCUCUGCAGCAGGCCACUCAGAGCACACCUGACUAUGUUCUUCUCCUCUCAAAACCCUUCAGGGGUCCCCAUUGCCUUGAAUUUGAUUAAAAGUCCAAGUUUGGGCAUUCAGUUCCUUCAUGAACUUCUGCCUGCUUACCCACCGAAUCUGGUCUCUCACUCCUUCUUGCAUUGAAUUUUUAACUAAAUUAAAAAAAAACUUUAAAC